GCCAGACUCCUACGGGAUGCAGCAGUGGGGGAUAUUGCACAAUGGGGGGAACCCUGAUGCAGCGACGCCGCGUGGGUGAAGGAGCGUUUCGGCGCGUAAAGCCCUAUCGGCAGGGAAGAAGGAGGACGGUACCUGACUAAGAAGCCCCGGCUAACUACGUGCCAGCAGCCGCGGUAAUACGUAGGGGGCAAGCGUUAUCCGGAUUUACUGGGUGUAAAGGGGGCGCAGACGGCAGCGCAAGCCAGGAGUGAAAGCCCGGGGCCCAACCCCGGGACUGCUCUUGGAACUGCGCGGCUGGAGUGCAGGAGGGGCAGGCGGAAUUCCUGGUGUAGCGGUGAAAUGCGUAGAUAUCAGGAGGAACACCGGUGGCGAAGGCGGCCUGCUGGACUGCGACUGACGUUGAGGCCCGAAAGCGUGGGGAGCAAACAGGAUUAGAUACCCUUGUAU
rnacentral:rRNA from 1 species